CACGAGGAAGGACGCAAAGCGAAACAGCGAGGAAGGACACAAAGUGGGGAAGAAAGGCUGACGAGUCUAUGAUUGGUGAUCUACACCUUCAUAACGCAAGUUUGUUUUGAUGUCUGCCAUCUUUCCAGUUGACUCUCACAGUGCUGAACUUUAUAACAGCUGUCAGAAUGGGAACCAGAACAUACCCCAGUGAAAGCCAAGACAUUUUCAUUCUUAAAACUAACCAAUGCAAAUUAUGUGACGCUUGUUGAGAGUGCAUGUUCAUUCAGCAGACAGUUGGUAAAGGACAAAAAAGCGGACACAAAGCAAGGAAGGAAGGAAGGUAAAUAAA